rnacentral:lncRNA from 10 species
CUACUCCAUUCUUUCAAGCAUAGUUAUGAUGAAAUGCAGUCAUUUCUCUCCUUCUCCUUGGCAAAGUCAAUUCUGCACCAUUCCAAGGUGUCAUCUUCUAACCAGCCCACUGUUUUUCUCUAGAAGACUGCUUUUUUUUGUUUUUUGUUUUUUCUGCCAUCUCCCAAAUUCACACUUUCUAAAUGAUGUGAAGACCAUGGACAGCUAGUGAAGAAAGAAGGUCUUCCGUGACUAGACUUGUGCCUCAUCUCCUUACUUGUUCUAAUUCAACUUCUCUAACUCAACGAUACAGUGAAUGUGCAAGGCAGCUACGGUGCAGUGAAAGGAAGCUUGCUCUAGUUCUCUUAAUUGAAUUCCAAUUUUUCUAUUCAUUGGCAGGGUGACCUUGGAAGACAAAUACUUUUAUUUACCAAGGUGUCCUGGGAAUAUUUCCUGGCGAGAAAUCCCUGCUCCAAAGGGGAAAGUCAACUGCAUUCCAUACUCACUCUUCUGGAAAGGAUGAGCCACAUCACAAGAAGAAGGGGAAAGUGAAGGAAAAAGAUGAAGAGCAAGAAAAUUUCUGAGAAGUUUAGUGUAGAAUGGGCAUAUUUAGUGUAUGAUAGACAACCAUCUAUGGCCCCUUCGAGGUAACUUACUCUAAAAACACAUCAUGUUCAAGAUUUCUUGAGUUGGAAUUUUUGUUCGGUUAGUCAGUUUGGAGUUUUGGGAAAUGUGUGUUUGGGCAGAAGCAGUCCUCAGGGUAGCCAGGCUAUAUUCAUUCCUCUUCUUCCCCAAAUCAAUUUACUCCAAGUGUGAUAUCAUGAGUUACCAUUUACUGAGGGCUUCCUGUUUGCUGUUCUAGGUGAACAAACUUCAAAAUAGCAUGUCAGUAGGGAUAUAUGCUCUAGGGAAAGAACACUACUUGUGUUUUCAUGUCUAUGCCAUCAUUUGCCACCCUAAAGUUCCUGCUUAUGCUUCCUUUGGAAGGAUCUCCUAUUCGUCAUCUCCUCAACACUUCCAAACAAACUUCUAGUUUCAGUGGAAAUACACAUUCCUCUUCUGAAUGCUCAUCACUAUUGACCUUUUACGUCUCUUCUGGUCUACUCUCUUUUUUAACUUUAAUUUGAGUUCUGAUGUCUAUGUCUAAUAAUGUUUCAUGAGCUCCAUUAAACUAUGAACUUCAUGAUGUGCUUUCACAGUAAUGCUCAGCACAGUGCCUCACACAGAAUAUGCACUCAGUAAAUAUUUUUGGAAUUAACACAUUUAUUCCCAAUAAACUACAGUUAUCUUUCUCUUGUUCCCUUUUUCUGUCUCCCUUUAGUGAAGAAUAUAAGUGCGUAGAUGAGGUGUACCUAGAGACAUUAGCAUUUACCCUGACAAAAACAUUUAUUAUCAUUCUAAUUCUUAUUAUUUAAUGUUUAACAAGUUUUUACAUAGUAUUUCUUGCAAGUCAUAAAAGCAAAACAUUUCUCUUAACUCUGGCUAAGCCAUGUUGAAAGAAAAGAGGAUAGAUUAGGGGAUAAUAAGAGGAAAGCUCUUGAUAAUCCCUAAAAUAGUUGCCUGUCACUGUUGUCUAAAUGAAGAAUAAAUAUGCAAAAACACAGCAACUUGAGGUUUCUUCUGUGAAAAAUAAAGUUCCAACUUCCUCCCUUGUGGUAUUUAAUAUUGCUGAGACAUAUGACACAAAAUGAGAAACUUCAUAGUUGGUAAUCAUAUUUAAUAAUGGUUCUUAAUAUUAUCAGAGUUCUUUACACUUAUAGUUCACUUCGCACUCAUGGAUUGAUGGCCCAGAUGAGAAUAAAGGACACAAGAAGUUGGUUUAUCCAGAAGCUGAGCGCUAUAAUUGAAAUAAGAAACUGGCAUGGGUAUGCUUGAUGAAAACUCGUGGAUAAUGAAGUUCAAAAAAUUAAUUAAAGAAAUGUUGAAUAAGAAAGACAAGCAAGAAGAAAAAGUCACCAUUAAACUAUUACUCAGUGAUAAUUAUCUUUACAAUGUUGGUACAUUCUUUUCCAUUUUUAAUACUUAUAUUUUCUACAAAUACAAUCUCUAGGCAC